UACGUAGGGUGCAAGCGUUAAUCGGAAUUACUGGGCGUAAAGCGUGCGCAGGCGGUUUUGUAAGCCAGAUGUGAAAGCCCCGGGCUCAACCUGGGAACUGCAUUUGGGACUGCAAGGCUGGAGUACGGCAGAGGGAGGUGGAAUUCCACGUGUAGCAGUGAAAUGCGUAGAGAUGUGGAGGAGCACCGAUGGCGAAGGCAGCCUCCUGGGCUAGUACUGACGCUCAUGCACGAAAGCGUGGGGAGCAAACAGG
rnacentral:rRNA from 1 species